AUCUGGAAUUUAACUGCUCCAGCCCCACUGCUCAAGGAGGGACGAUUGCAGCUGCCCAGUAUCAGGUACAGGCAAUGCAGCUGCUACCCCAACACUAAAGUUAUGGAGGUGCAUCUGUCAAUCAGAGAUGCUGGAAGACAUCAGCAAAUGCCCCUCAUCCCUGGGAGCUGGGAUGAGCUCUGUUCUCCUCUCAAGAAGAUGAGGGUGGCAGGGAGCAGCCAACUGGAUAUGGGGCUGUUUGGACCUGGGCAGCUUUGGCUCAAACACUGAGCAAUACAAUCCCAGUAAGAAACUCCUGUGAGUGGAUAAACCCUAUGAAAUUUUGCAAGUCGGGCUGGCAGUCGGGAGGCAGGGCUAAAACCAGGAAACAACAGCCCUUAUUCACAGGAAAGAAAGCCUGGAAUCUUUGGCUUUAUGGUGCACUUGGUGGGCCAGGCUGGGGACUCCCUGGGCAGCAUGAACUUUUUGUGCUGGCACCUUUGGUGUGGGAGGAAUCUUUGUUUGUAUGCAAUUCUGGGAGUUGGUCUGGCAGUUGGGAGGCACGGUUCAAAACAGGAAACAACAGCCCUAAACCCCAGGAAAGAAAGACUGGAAGCUUUGGCUUUGUAGUGCAGUUGGUGGGCCAGGCAUAGCACUCCAUGAGCAGCAAGAGCUUUCUGUUUUGGCACCUUUGGUGUGGGAGGAACCUUUGUUUGUAUGAAAUUUUGGGAUUCAGGCUGGCAGUUAGGAGGCAUGGCUGAAAAAACGAAAGAAGAGCCCUUUUCCCCAGGAAAGAAAGCCUGGAAGCUUUGGCUUUGUGGUGCAGUUGAUGAGCCAGGCUUAGCACUCCAUGAGGAGCAGGAGCUUUCUAUUCUGAUACCUUUUUUCUAGGAGGAAUCUUCGUCCGUUUGAAAUUUUGGCAGUCAGACUGGCAGUUGGGAGGCAGGGCUGAAAACAUGAAACAACAGCCCAUAUCCCCAGGAAAGAAAGCCUGGAAGCUUUGGCUUUGUGGUCCAGUUGGUUUGUCAGCCUGGGCACUCCAUGGACAGCAAGAGUUUUCUGUGCUGGCAUCUUUGGUGUGGGAGGAAUCUUUGUUUGUAUGCAACUCUGGGAGUUGGUCUGUCAGUUGGGAGGCGGUUCUGAUAACAGAAAACAACAGCCCUUAUGGGCAGGAAAGAAAGACUGGAAACUUCGGCUUUCUGGUGAAGUUAGUUUGUCAGUUUGGAGACUCCAUGGAAAGCAAGAGCUUUCUGUGCUGGCACGUUUGGUGUGGGAGGAAUCUUUGCCCGUAUACAAUUUUGGGAGUCAGGCUGGCAGUUGGGAGGCAGGGCUGACAACAGGAAACAACAGCCCAUAUCCCCAGGAAAGAAAACCUGAAAGCUUUUGCUUGGUGGUGCAGUUGAUGGGCCAGCCUGGGCAAUCCAUGAGCAGCAAGAGCUUUCUGUGCUGGCACCUUUCAUUUGGGCGGAAUCUUUGUUUGUAUGCAAUUUCGGGAGUUGGCCUGGCAGCUGGGAGGCAGUUCUGAAAACAGGAAACAACAGCCCUUAUCCCUAAGAAAGCCAGGACGCUUUGGCUUGGUGGUGCAGUUGGUGGGCCAGACUGAGCACUCCAUGAGCAGCAGGAGCUAUCUAAGCUGGUACCUUUUUUCUGGGAGGAAUCUUCAUCCGAUUGAAAUUUUGGGAUUUGGGCUGGCAGUUGGGAGGCAGGGAUGAAAAAAACGAAAGAAGAGCCCUUUUCCCCAGGAAAGAAAGCCUGGAAGUUUUGGCUUUGUGGUGCACUUGGUAGGCCAGGCUUAGCAGUCCAUGAGCAGCAAGAGGUUUCUGUGCUGGCACCUUUGUUCUGGGAAGAAUCUUUGUAUGCAAUUUUGGAAGUUGGGCUGGUAGUUGGGAGGCAGAUCUGAAAACAGGAAACAACAGCCCUUAUCCUCAGGAAAGAAAGACUGGAAGCUAUGGCUUUGUGGUGCAGUUGGGUUUGUCAGCCUGGGCACUCCAUUGACAGCAAGAGCUUUCUGUGCUGGCACUUUUGUUCUGGGAGGAAUUUUUCUUUGAAUGCAAUUUUGGGAUUAGGGCUGUCAAUUGGGAGGCAGGUCUGAAAACAGGAAACAACAGCCCUUCUACCCAGGAAAGAAAGCCUGGAAGCUUUAGCUUUGUGGUGCAGUAGGUGGAGCAGCCUGGGGACUGCAUGGGCAGCAAGAGCUUUCUGUGCUGGCAUCUUUGGUGUCAGAGGAAUCUUUGUUUGUAUGCAAUUUUGGGAGUCAGGCUGGCAGUUGGGAGGCAGGGCUGAAAACAGGAAACAACAGCCCAUGCCCCCAGCAGUCCGGGGGGGAAAAUGGACCGAGGAAUCCGCUGUAAAGGGUUGGUGAGACCCAAAAGAUUCUAGGAGGGGGUCAGGAGAAGCCCAGGAGUCCUGAAGAGGGUUUGGGGGUCCCCAGGAUGGAGUCUGGGGGUCUGAGGUGGUCCCAGGAGAUUUUCAAGGGUUAAGGGGAUGCACAGGAGAUUUGGGGGUCUUGGGGGGGAGCUGGGCGGUUCCCAAGAGUCUUGGGGGAGAUUUGGAGGGGUCACCAGGAGCCCCUGGACCCCCUGAACUCACCCGACACCACCAUGACCUCGUUGGGGCCGCACAUGGAAAACAUCGCGGCGGGGGGAGACCCUGGGGCCGGGAUUGAUCAGGACCAAUCAGGUUCAAUCGCGAUCCUCCCCCCUCCCGCCCCCACCGCCCCGCUCCCGGCAGCCCCCGCGGAAGUAUCGACGUUCUAUUGGAUGACUCACCAGCGCAAGGAAAGGGGCCGAGCAGAAUUUGGCAAUGACGUCAUUCCAGCAGAGCCGUUCUAUUGGCUGCGACCCACGAGGGAGCCCCAGAACCUGUUCAUGGCGUGGGAGGGGAGAGCCGGCAUGGCCGGGAACGGGGGUGCAGAGGGUGUUCCAGUGCCCAGGAAAGUGGCAAAAAACUUUCCCCUCUCUCUCCCAGUGCCCCCUCAGCCCAUCCUGGUGUUAUAGGUAAAUGAAACGAGGCUGAAAUAUAGCAGCAAAAAUUUAUUAAAGAUUUAUAUAAAAUGCAAAUAAGCAAAACAGCACGCUGGGCGGCCGGGGAGACCCCUGCUCCACUCACGGCCCGCAAGCACAGUGGGCAAAAACAGUAACCUUUAUACCCUUAUCAAUUCCCCUCCCAUAGUCAUUUGUUAUUCCUCCAUUGGAUCCGAGUUCGCAUGUCUGGUUCUGGUUGGUUCUUUUGCAGGCCCGCUUCAGUUGCCAGGUACAUUCCUAUCCAUAGUUUUAAUUAAUCCUUCGUCCUUGAGGCCUAGUGUGUGGGACCCUCCAGAUGUCCAUCUUGGAUCCUCUUUAUCGUCCUCGUACUUGACCCUUUGAUCCUUGUCCUUCCCUUCGUUACUUUAGGCGUACACUUUUAGACAAUAUACUUUUAGAAAAACAAGAUACAAAAUACUUAUUCAGCAAGGCACAAUAAUUUGUCUUGUCAGCUUAAGAACUGCAAACUGCAGGAUUAUCAGCCUAUAAUACUGACAAAUUAAUUAACCAUUCUGCAACUUACAGUCCCCCAACCUUAACAGAACAUUGAUUACAAUAACAUAUAUAGGAAUAUAACAUGCAAUACAAUUUAAUGAAUAAAUUACUUUACUACUA